AUGGUGAGGUGGGAGGCUCCUCCGAUGGGCUGGUUCAAGCUGAAUUUCGACGGAUCCGUUUACCACGACGGGUCCGGCCGGGCGAGCAUCGGCGGCGCCAUCCGUGACUGCAACGGCCACGUCCUCGUCGCCUUCGCCGAGCCGACGGAGCACUCGACGGUGGGGAUAGUGGAGGCGCGAGCACUGAUCUACGGGCUGCGGCUCGCGAUGAGUUUCUUCUGUGGCGGGCUGGUGGUGGAAGGCGACGACCAGGUGCUGGUGGAGCUCCUGACCGGCAAGGGGACGCAGACGCGUAUACCGCUGUCCAUGCAACAGGAGAUCAAGACUCUGCUUAAGCACUUCUCGACAUACCAGCUGCAGCACAUAUACCGCGAGGGCAACCAGGUCGCCCAUGUCCUGUGCAAAGAAGCAUAUCGGCGGCCAGGGGUGUGGAAGAGCGGGAUCGUGCCGCACGCCGUGUGGGAGAAGGCACUGGAAGACAUGCAUGGCGUCGCGCACGAGAGGAUCUGCAAGAAGUCGUGGUAG
rnacentral:rRNA from 1 species